GACUCUAGGGACCCAUGUGAUAAUGGUGAAUAUACGAGUAGAACCGACUUUAAUCGAUAAAGUUAAAGCUGCUCAAGCUACAGACCUGGAGUUGAUGCGUAUGAGGAAGAAAGUGAAAGAAGGUGUUAUUUCGGAAGCAAGAAUCGAUGAAGAAGGAAUACUUCGAGUCAACUCUAGACUUUGUGUUCUUAACAAUUUUGACUUGAAGUAUAAAAUCAUAAUGGAG
rnacentral:lncRNA from 1 species